CUCCUUCGACGAGUCGAGUAGUUUGGGAAUGCUGCUCUAAAUGGGAGGUAAAUUUCUUCUAAAGCUAAAUACCGGCCAGAGACCGAUAGCGCACAAGUAGAGUGAUCGAAAGAUGAAAAGCACUUUGAAAAGAGGGUUAAAUAGCACGUGAAAUUGUUGAAAGGGAAGCGUUUGCGACCAGACCUUUUCCUAGCGGAUCAUCCGGUGUUCUCACCGGUGCACUUCGCUUGGCUUAGGCCAGCAUCGGUUUCUGUAGGGGGAUAAAAGCUCUGGGAAUGUGGCUCCCUCGGGAGUGUUAUAGCCCUCUGCAUAAUACCCUUACGGGGACCGAGGACCGCGCUUCGGCAAGGAUGCUGGCAUAAUGGUUGUCAACGACCCGUCUUGAAACACGGACCAAGGAGUCGAACAUUUGUGCGAGUGUUUGGGUGUUAAACCCUCACGCGUAAUGAAAGUGAACGGAGGUGAGAGCCCUUUGGGGUGCAUCAUCGACCGAUCCUGAUGUCUUCGGAUGGAUUUGAGUAAGAGCAUAACUGUUCGGACCCGAAAGAUGGUGAACUAUGCGUGGAUAGGGUGAAGCCAGAGGAAACUCUGGUGGAGGCUCGCAGCGGUUCUGACGUGCAAAUCGAUCGUCAAAUCUGCGCAUGGGGGCGAAAGACUUAUCGAACCAUUAACCCAGCGGUAAAUUUUCAUUUACUAGGUGGUUAAGAGGCCGCUCGCGAGAGUGAGGCCUAGACCGCGACCCCGCGGGGCCUACCCUGUAG
rnacentral:rRNA from 1 species